rnacentral:miRNA from 1 species
ACCAGUGGAGACGAGGGACUGGGCCUGAUUCCUGCCACCCGCUCUAAGGCAGUCCUUUGUUCCUCCCCAG